rnacentral:rRNA from 1 species
GAUGAACGCUGGCGGCGUGCCUAAUACAUGCAGGUCGAGCGAACAGAUGAGGAGCUUGCUCCUCUGACGUUAGCGGCGGACGGGUGAGUAACACGUGGAUAACCUACCUAUAAGACUGGGAUAACUUCGGGAAACCGGAGCUAAUACCGGAUAAUAUAUUGAACCGCAUGGUUCAAUGGUGAAAGACGGUUUUGCUGUCACUUAUAGAUGGAUCCGCGCCGCAUUAGCUAGUUGGUAAGGUAACGGCUUACCAAGGCAACGAUGCGUAGCCGACCUGAGAGGGUGAUCGGCCACACUGGAACUGAGACACGGUCCAGACUCCUACGGGAGGCAGCAGUAGGGAAUCUUCCGCAAUGGGCGAAAGCCUGACGGAGCAACGCCGCGUGAGUGAUGAAGGUCUUCGGAUCGUAAAACUCUGUUAUUAGGGAAGAACAAAUGUGUAAGUAACUAUGCACGUCUUGACGGUACCUAAUCAGAAAGCCACGGCUAACUACGUG